AUGCUCACUUCGGCAGCACAUAUGCUAAAAUUGGAACGAUACAGAGAAGAUUAGCAUGGCCCUACGUAACGAUGACACACAGAAAUGUUGGACAAUUUAUAUUCCC
rfam:Pteropus alecto contig169038, whole genome shotgun sequence.